UCCCGUGUGGCUCAGUUGGUUAAGCAGGGUGCUUUCAACACCAGGAUUGUGGGCUCAAUUCCCACCGGGGAC
rnacentral:tRNA from 1 species